UCUCCCUAUCCCUAUACGUCCUACUCUUCUUCGAGCUGUAAUUGGACUCUCUCAUUGUCUGAUUUUUCGUUAAUUAAUAGAAUCUAUCGAGUGGUUUUGAUAUAUAUUUAUUUUCCUUCCCUGAUUUGUGGGCAUUAUUGUGUCUCUCUCAUAACUAGCAACAUUCUUGUGGUUACCUUUUUGCUGAAAAGAAAAGACUCUAACAAUCCGAUUCUUAAAUAAAGAGUCUAAUAGUCAGAUUCUUAACUUUUCAUUGUCAAGUUAAGAAAAGAAAGAGUGUAACAAUCAGAUUCUUCAAGACUGCGUCCUGUUGAGACGUUUGUUGUGUUAACUGAUUGAUCGACCAUUCUAACUGCAGAUGAAAUAUCUUAGUAUGGUUUGGGAAGGUAUGGGAGCGUCAGCUGGUUUUGCUGCAAGCUUUCUUGGGAUAGUUUUGAGUCCGUCCAACUCAUCCCAUUUUGCCUAUGUGUGUCUUCCCAAUGCAAACAAUGACUCCUCUGUAAUUAGGAUUUUUGUCAACUUUGUCAGCUUUUGGAUUUACGAGUCCAGCUCCUUUCGAGGUAUAGUUGGAGAUGUACAUGUCUGUUUAAUGAGUGCGAGUGUUUGUUUAAAGUUAAUAUCCUCCAAGUUUUAUGUUUAGAUCUUGGUUUUGGGGCAAUAAUGGUAAGAACCAGCUUAAUUUUUUUCAGCGAGAUUGCAGUGAAGCGUGACACAAAUUAAUAAGCAAAUUCAGUAUAUUUUCGGUUAAAGGAAUCCUAUAUGGAAUGUUUGAGUGGAGAAGUGCCUAAGAGUUGCUCUAGUUGGUUCAAGAGUUGUUUUAGUAACUGUACUUUCUUUCAGUAUGGAACAUAAUCAUUUUCUUAUGGUGGAUUCUAUGAAACUCUUCCCUUUACUACAUAAGUAAUGCAUAUAGGAUGUCGAUCCCCAUGGGUAAUGGAUUCCCAUAAAAGGGGGUGUUGCUGCAAGACUCUGGAGGAAAGAGGGCAAGAUCGGUACUGAACCGAGCUGGAGUACUGUCGAAAAUCAGAUCGAUGUAGCCCACGAGUGAGCCUGCAAAAGAAGUACUACAACCGAUGGGAUACUCUCCAGUUUAGGACCCUCCAAUGCUGAAGUCAGCCGGGAUCUUGGGAACAGAUAGUGGAAAUAGAGAAAAUGAAAAGUGAAAAGAGAAGUUUUGGUGGAGAGAACGAGAGUUUUUGGUUUCCGUCAAUGGAGGAAAGAGUUCAGUAGAGUCUAAGCUCUGUGUAUCAUGACCUACCUUUCGGAGAGUAUCUUGUCUCUUUUUAUAUAGAGGAGAUUUGCUUAGGCCAUUAGGCUGUUGAGAGAAUUUAUUAGGCUGUUAGGGAUUUGUUAGGCCGUUAGUUUCUUAUAACAGAAUAGCCAGCUAUAUGGAGAUCGUGGGCUGUUUGCCCAUGUGGCUAUUGGCUGUAGUAUAGCUGGAAGAUAGCCGUUACAGAGCUAGAUAGUAACUGAUUUAGCACACCUGAUUCUUGAUCACAUCGGAUUAUUACCGAUGUCUUUUGUGGCAGAUCGAAUAGAAGCUAAGCUACUCAAUCUUGAGAUCAAACUAAUCCAGAUCAGCAUAAAAUCGAUUUGAGAAGUGAACUAGAUCGGUAUUUUGCCGAUCUGACCCAAUAGUUGAUUUUCAGAUGAUUUUUUCUGGUUCUACCACGUGGUCAUAGAUUGGUUAAUUGUACCAACACAUACCCCCCACUUUUCAAAUUUGAAGUGAAAAUUUUCACAUCAGAUAUGAAAAGUAAGUUAAAAAAUCUCACUUGAUCUGUGCUAUCAAUAAUAAAUGCACCGUAUGACGAUUGAUAGCAUUAAUUUUUUAAUCAUUCGAAAUGGCAUGUCAUAUUUCGGAAACAUCUCAUCAAACUUUCCAGCAAUUAUGAGGGUCUAGAGAAUUGAGAAUUCAUUAUUGCCUAGAAGAUCACACCGAUAUGGGCUGAUUCUCUGCUUGCCACAUGUCAUUUUACUGUUGGCUAUAUCAACUGUCGCACGGGUCAGAUUGCGUGGCUUGAUCAGAGAGAGGUACGUUGAAAGGUCUCUCAUCAAAGUCGUUGAAUUACGGCCAAGUGGCAUCGAUUCGACGGCAAACCUGAUUAAUCUGAAUCGCUGAUGUGUUCUAUAAAUAGGCCUGUACUCCGUUUGAAAACUACUUUAACUUUUUCUCUGUGCGAAAGUUCUGCCAAAAUCUUUUUCGAGCUUUCUCAACACUACCGAAGCUGGAGAAGUUCCUUGGUGUCGCCAGAGUCAGGCAAGAGACCAUUGGAGCCAAGACAGAGUUCUUAGAAGCUUUCUUGGAACUUCUUUCCCGUUUAUUAGAUAGAUUUCUUUAUCCUUGGUCUUCUCCUUGUGCGAUUUUAGGGUUUUAGGUUUCAUUUGUCUUAUGUUUUUCCUUUCUAAAUAGUUUUCCUCUCCUUUUGCUCACUUUCCCCAUUCUAUUUUGCUCUCUUUUUCCUUCCUUCAAAAGAUGUCUUCCGAUAAUAGUGAGAUAAGUUGGGACAAUUGUGUAUCUCGGUUGAUCCAACCUCUGCUCGAGUUCGAAGUGGAAACUUCAAUACUUCAGAUCGAGAGAACUCGGAGUCUCCCAUAAGGAGAUUUUUGGAUUACUUCGAUCCUGGUAUUGAACAAUUUGUCCUGUCCGAUCUCGAUCUUCAGAAACUUAAGGAUAAAUACUAGAGUUCUGAAGAAUUUCAAUUGAUAGCUCUAGGUUGGGAUUAUAGGAUUACUGAACCUCCAGAAAAUUGUAUUGCAUUUUAUGAUGAGGUACUUCGGUCCGGACUUCGGUUUUUCUUAUAUCCUUUCAUUAGUAAUAUCUUAGAUUUCUAUUGGUUUUAUCCGACCCAAGUUACUCCUAAUGCCAUUAGGAUGAUCAUUGUUUUUAUCAUCUGUUGUCGGUUUGCUGCCAUAGAACUUAGGAUUUCUUUUUUUAGGAUACUGUUUGUCCUUAAAAAACAUCCUUAUGAAAAAGACUGGUGGUAUUUUCCACCUCGACCUAAGUGUAAAUUCAGUCUUGCUCUUCCUUCUUCUAUUCACAACUAGAAGAAUUGUUUCUCUUUUGUGUCUUCAAGUGUUCCAUAGGGUUUCAGUUGCAACUGGCAUAAGCCUGAGACCAAAUGGAAUUCCAAUAAUGAGGUACUACUUAAGGAUGAGGAGGCUUUUGCAGAGCUAUUGGGUAUGAAGGUAUCCAAGCUAAGCCAACUGGCGAGCAAUCAAUCUCUUUUUGAUGUUGGCAUCAGUCAAAUCUCUCUCCAAGCAUUCAUGAAGUUCGAUCCCAAGAGGAUGGCAGAGGCGAAAAAGAGAAAAUAAGAUCCUGUUGCCUAACUUGCCGCAAUAAAAGAAGAAUCAACUCCAGGAAAAGAUGAACACAAUAAAAGAGAAAAAUCAACAGCUUUUGGACAAUCAGUGCAGAAUGAAUGAGCAGGAAGACAAGUUGCAGAAGGAGAUAGAGAAGAUCUCUGAGCUCGAGGCUAAGUUGAAGGAGGCUGAAUCAGUGAUCAAGAAGCACGACUCGGCCCUCAUCUCAUAUCAACGACAACUCGAGAAAAAUAAGGAGUGCAUUUCAAGGGCUAUUGAAGACUUCAAGGCUUUGGAUGCAUUUUAGGAUGAAGUCACAAAAGCUUUUGAGGGGGCCUUGAACUUUGGGUUUUUGAGCUAUAGAAACCUGGUCAUGAAACUUUUUCCUGACCUGGAUCCGAGCAAAGUUACCGUCGAAGUGGCCAUUGCAGCAGCAAUCGAGGUCACCUUCAGGGAGGCGAGCAUGGUCAUCCACCAAUCGAUGUCGGAUGUCACUUUGGCUGCUGCUGAGGUGGCCCAAUUAAUUGCGGAAGUGGCUCCUCAGUUCAUACUGAGGUCCUUCCUGUUGACGUCUUAGCUCCUCCAACAGAGAUCCCAUCAACUCGUGCUGAGGUCCCGGCUGUUGAAGUCAUCUUCUACGACUGACAAGGGUCCGACUUCAGUUUCUACUCCUUCUGACUGUCCUCAGGCUAAUAUCUGAUAUGUAAUUUUCUUUUUCUUUUUGAUCUUUUGUAUCAGCCUGAUGUGGGCUUUUGUAAAUAUUUUUCACACCAAUGAAAAAAAUUUUCUU